UGUUGGUCAGGCUGGUCUCCAACUCCCGACCUCAGGUGAUCCACGUGCCUUGGCCUCCUAAAGUGCUGAGAUUACAGGCGUGAGCCACUGCGCCUGGCUGCACAAACAUUUUAAACGUCAAUAUUUUUGUGUUUAUUUUUACUAUUGUCUUCUAUUUCUGGCAAGCAAUACUGGUUUCUGGUGGCAAGGUAACCUUUCUUCUUAAAAUACAUUUGUUAUUAUAUUAUUAAAUAUUAAACCAAUUUUCAAGAAAAAUAUUAGAUAAAUAGCAGAACAGGUUGUAGAAAGAUGAAGGUCAUGUGGGGAAUGACUGAGGUUUGGGAAACAAUAUUAUAACUCCUUACUGUGCAUUUAUUAUAUGCCAGGCCCAAUGCCAAGGGCUUUACAUGUAGGUAUAGUUAUGGUUGACAGUUUUCUUCUUUUUCUUUUCUUUUUUUUUGAAACAGGGUCUUGCUCUGUCGCCCUGUCUGGAGUGCAGUGACACAAUCUCAGCUCACUACAACCUCCACCUCCUUAGUUCAAGUGAUUCUCCUGCCUCAGCCUCCCGUGUAGCUGGUCUUACAGGUGCCCACCACCACAUCCGGUAUUUUUAGUAGGGACGAGGUUUUACCAUGUUGGCGAGGCUUGUCUUGAACUCCUGACCUCAGGUGAUCCACCUUCCUUGGCCUCCCAAAGGCUGGGAUUACAGGUGUGAGCCACUGCACCUGGCCUCUUUUUUUCUUACUUAAUUUUUUUGUAGAGAUGAGGUCUAUGUUGCCCAAACUUGUCUCGAACUCCUGGCCUUAAGUGAUCCUCCCUCCUUGGCCUUCCAAAGUGCUGGGAUUGCAGACGUGAGCCAUCGUGCCCGGCCUAAUAAGUUUUCCAUUUGAGGAAACUGAGGCUUUGAGAGAUGAAGUCAUAUGCUCAAGGUCAUACAGCGAAGGGGUAGUAGAGCCAGGAUUCAAACCCAAGUCUGUGGAUCUUUAGACCUCAGUGUUCUCCCAGUCUCCCCACGGGUCCCUUUGCUUCAUCCUUUCCGAGUUUAGUUGUCUUUUUUGUUGUUGUUCUUGUUGUUGCUGUUUUUUGAUAGAGUCUCGCCCUGUUGCCCAGGCUGGAGUGCAGCGGCAUGAUCCUGGCUCACUGCAACCUCUGCCUCCUGGGUUCAAGUGAUUCUCCUGCCUCAGGCUCCCGAGUAGCUGGGAUUACAGGUAUGCGCCGCCACACCCAGCUAAUUUUUGUAUUUUUAGUAGAGAUGGAGUUUCAUCAUGUUGGUCAGGCUGGUCUGGAACUCCUGACCUCAGUGAUCUGCCCACCUUGGCCUCCCAAAGUGCUGGGAUUACAGGCGUGAGCCACUACGCCCAGUAUGUAGUUUUUUUGUGUUUUGUUUUUGUUUUUGUUUAGAGACAGGGUCUCCCUCUGUAACUCAGGCUGAAGUGCAGUGGUGUGAUCAUAGCUCUCUGUAACCUCGAACUCCUGGCCUCAAGCAAUUUUCCUGUCUUAGCCUCCCAAGUACCUGGGACUACAGGCAUGCACCACCACGCCCGGAUAAAUUUUUUUUUUUUUUAGAGACGGGGGUCUUGUUAUGUUGCUCAGGGUGGUCUCGAACUUUUGGCCUCAAGUGAUCUUCCCACAUUGGCCUCCCGAAGUGUUGGGAUCACAGAUGUGAGUCAUCAUGCCAGGCCUCAGAUUAGUGUUGAAACUGGAAGUCCAGGGAGGCCCUGUAUUUGUUCCCGAGGCAAUCAGGGUGGGGAGACGUGGGUGGAUGAGAGAAGUUUGUGAGGCAGGAUAGACACAGCAUUGUGACUGAUUGUUUGUGGGAGGUGAGUGUGUAGAAGUCCAGAGCCAUACCUGGGUGUCUGGCCUGGUGACACCGUGGGCAGUGAAAACAUCUCUGAGUUGGAAAUCAGGUAGGAUGAAGAAGACGUUUGGUUAGAUUUAGGGUGGAAGGGGCAUCCAGAGGCCGUUGGACACGUGGGUUUGGGCUCAGUUGAGGUGGCUGCACAGUAGGCAGGGUGUGGGAUCCAUUAGUGAUGUCUGCCUUGAGCACAGGCAUGGGAAGUGGCUGCCAAGGCUUGGCUAACCCUGGAAUGGGUGGUCUGUCAGCAUCUUCCCCUCAAUCAUUUCUUUCUUUUUUUUUUUUUUGAGACAGAAUCUCGCUCUGUCGCCGAGGCUGGAGUGCAGUGGCGCAAUCUUGGCUCACUACAACCUCCAUCUCCCAGAUUCAAGCGACUCUCAUGCCUCAGCCUCCCGAGUAGCUGUGAUUACAGGCAUGCACCACCACACCCGGCUAAAUUUUGUAUUUUUAGUAGAGAUGAGGUUUCACCAUGUUGGCCAGGCUGGUCUUGAACUUCUGGUCUCAAGUGAUCCGCCCUCCUCGGCCUCCCAAAGUGCUGGGAUUACAGGCGUGAGCCACUGCGCCCGGCCUCCCCUCAAUCAUUUCAUAACCUACACAGAUGGCAGAGGGAGCUCCUUCUCCAGAGAUGGGGAAGGUUCUCCUGGAGUGUCACUUAAGUGCCUUUCAGUGCAGAAAGGUGAACAACUGGAGGGUUCUGGAAGCACAAGAGGCCUCGGGUUUUCCACAGGAGUCUUUAUUACAGUGUAAAUCCAAGCUCAGGUAAUUAGCGCAGAGUCCCUAGUGGGAGUGAUCCUGACACCCACCGGGAAAAGGCUCG
rnacentral:lncRNA from 10 species